rnacentral:rRNA from 1 species
UACGAAGGGUGCAAGCGUUAAUCGGAAUUACUGGGCGUAAAGGGUGCGUAGGCGGUUGUUUAAGUCUGUCGUGAAAUUCCCGGGCUCAACCUGGGAAUGGCGAUGGAUACUGGGCAGCUAGAGUGUGUCAGAGGAUGGUGGAAUUCCCGGUGUAGCGGUGAAAUGCGUAGAGAUCGGGAGGAACAUCAGUGGCGAAGGCGGCCAUCUGGGACAACACUGACGCUGAAGCACGAAAGCGUGGGGAGCAAACGGG